GCUGCCCAAACAACUCCUUCAGCGAAAUCUGUCGGCCCAUGGGUACACCACCCUGAUACAACCCCUGGUCUCCAUGACCCUGGGCGUCACCCUGGUUCCGCUCCGCGGCAACCCUCUCCAGUGCAAAUCUCCUACUCUCCCCACCAUGUACGGCACACUCCUUAAUAAUCUGCGCAUUCAAAGCCCUAGUCUCCGCCGUAGAGCUGGGUGGGGGCUCCGAGAAGAUCCACAGCCCAUAAAUAACUGACUGGUGGCCGUCUGCCGCCUUGAUCGUAGUGGCGCCAGGCUCCGUACCCGUUGACGCGACUUUCAAAAUGACAUAUUCAUCCGUAAUUUCCACAUCAUCGCCGUCCGCA
rnacentral:sRNA from 1 species